UACAGCAACAGUGUAAAGAAUAUUAGUCUCCUAACUUGUGUCUUUUUGUGUUUUUGGUCUUUGACAGUUUGGUGCCAUGGCUCAGGAUUAUAACUUGCCUUCAGAUUCAGAUUCUGGUCUGCUCCAGUCAGGUAAUAGACCAUGUGGAGAUGAUCAUUCUUCAUUUCUGACUGGCAACCCAGGGAUCUAAGGGUUUCACCAAGAUACAGUUUGCACUCACCAUGACCAUGGACUCCAGUCUUCAUCCAGCUGUGGAAGCCCCGGUGCCUUGCUGCUCACCUCUUGUCAAGUCUACAACAAUGUGAUCUCUAUGUGUCCCUACUGAGUACUACUUCUUUUGUGACCAAAAUGCCUAGGUCUGUUCACUUCAGACUCUGCCAAAGGAAUCCUGUUUAAGGUGCCUGGAUUUCAAAAUUCUAAAACAACUGACCUGUGCUAUAACUGUUCACCAGGUGGUUCAAUGUAUUUUACAGAAACAAAA